rnacentral:rRNA from 1 species
UACGGGGGGGGCAAGCGUUGUUCGGAAUUACUGGGCGUAAAGGGCUCGUAGGCGGCCAACUAAGUCAGACGUGAAAUCCCUCGGCUUAACCGGGGAACUGCGUCUGAUACUGGAUGGCUGGAGUUUGGGAGAGGGAUGCGGAAUUCCAGGUGUAGCGGUGAAAUGCGUAGAUAUCUGGAGGAACACCGGUGGCGAAGGCGGCAUCCUGGACCGAUACUGACGCUGAGGAGCGAAAGCCAGGGGAGCAAACGGG